rnacentral:rRNA from 1 species
AGAGUUUGAUCCUGGCUCAGAAUUAACGCUGGCAGAGUGCAUAACACAUGCAAGUCGAGCGGGACUGUUUGAGAUUACAUCAAGAGCAGUCUAGCGGCAGACGAGUGAGUAACACGUAAGCAACCUGCCCUCGAAUGGCGAAUAACUAGCCGAAAGGUUAGCUAAUGCGCCGUACUCUCUCUGGGAGGCAUCUUCUGGAG